rnacentral:rRNA from 1 species
GCGGGAACCGCGAUAAGGNAAUCUCGAGUGCCAGCAUAUAAUGUUGGCUGUCCAGAUGCCUAAAAAGCAUUUGUUAGCAAGGGCCGGGCAAGACCGGUGCCAGCCGCCGCGGUAACACCGGCGGCCCGAGUGGUAACCGUUAUUAUUGGGUCUAAAGGGUCUGUAGCCGGCCGAAUAAGUCUCUUGGGAAAUCUGGCAGCUUAACUGUCAGGCAGUCAGGGGAUACUGUUCGGCUUGGGACCGGGAGAGGUGAGAGGUACCUCGGGGGUAGGGGUGAAAUCUUGUGAUCCUCGAGGGACCACCAGUGGCGAAGGCGUCUCACCAGAACGGGUCCGACGGUAAGGGACGAAAGCUAGGGGCACGAACCGGAUUAGAUACCCGGGUAGUCCUAGCCGUAAACGAUGCUUGCUAGGUGUCAGCCACGGUGCGACCGUGGUUGGUGCCGUAGGGAAGCCGUGAAGCGAGCCACCUGGGAAGUACGGCCGCAAGGCUGAAACUUAAAGGAAUUGGCGGGGGAGCACUACAACGGGUGGAGCCUGCGGUUUAAUUGGAUUUCAACGCCGGAA